AUAUUGACUUCCAACACUCUAGCAAUCCACUGAACUUCUCAGGAAUAACACUUUGUACUGCAAAAAUAGUCAUAAACUGGGCUACACUGUCUCUAUCUCUGAGACAGAUUUAAUAACUUCUCUAUAAUAAGAGUUCACUGUAAACACCGCCAGGAGUUGCACCUACUUUUCACUACUAGAUAAUCUUUUUACUGCAAAUGCAAUUGCAAUUCUUUACUAUAGAGGAGGAUAAAUUUUAUUGCCCAUGCAGUAGUUUUAGACGCUGUUUAACUUUUUUUUUGAGAAAUGGUAAGGUAUUGUCGAUAUCAAACAACGAGUGAGUGGUGUCGUUACAUCCCAGAAAAUUACCAUAGAAAUGGUAAGGUAUUGUCGAUAUAAAACAACGAGUGAGUGGUGUUGUUACAUCCCAGAAAAUAACCAUAGAGAGAAAAAAGAAACCCUGUUUGUCCAUACAAAAGAAUCUAUGAAUUCUAGCUGGGUUUCACUAUCAUCCAUCCAAUCAUAUUUACACCCAAAAAAUAUCGACAAGAUACAGUCUGAUUUGAUCUUCAAAAGUGAGUUCUCCUGUCCUUCCUCUCUUUCCAUAUGCGUUACCAAAUAGCUGCUGUUAUUGUAUUCCAAUCUUUCUUCAUUUGCUGUGAUAGCUCCUUCCUAUUCCAGCAAGACAGUAACUCAGCAGUAGUGCUUGACAUCACCCAUUAACUUCCCAAAAUGUUCAAGAAUAAUUGCCAGAACUGUGUGGCAGCUCCGUAGCAUAGGAAUAGAUGAUUGAUAGUUUUUGCCUCCUCUUUACACAUAUAGCACCUGUUAACUAUUUGGAUUUCCUUCUAUGGAAGCCCAAACUUGAUUGG
rnacentral:lncRNA from 1 species